UACGGGUAAGGGCAAACUUGUCGAAAGGCAAGGACGCAAAGCCAUGGGUCUUCGGACGGCAGAUCGCCGUCACAGACAGCCAGGUUGCAGGA
rnacentral:ncRNA from 1 species